rnacentral:rRNA from 1 species
UACGUAGGGUGCAAGCGUUAUCCGGAAUUAUUGGGCGUAAAGAGCUCGUAGGCGGUUUGUCGCGUCUGCCGUGAAAGUCCGGGGCUCAACUCCCGAUCUGCGGUGGGUACGGGCAGACUAGAGUGUGGUAGGGGAGACUGGAAUUCCUGGUGUAGCGGUGAAAUGCGCAGAUAUCAGGAGGAACACCGAUGGCGAAGGCAGGUCUCUGGGCCACUACUGACGCUGAGAAGCGAAAGCAUGGGGAGCGAACAGG